UACGUAGGUGACAAGCGUUGUCCGGAUUUACUGGGCGUAAAGAGCGCGCAGGCGGUCGAUCAAGUCGAGUGUGAAAGCCCCCGGCUCAACUGGGGAGGGUCAUUCGAUACUGAUCGACUCGAAGGCAGGAGAGGGUAGUGGAAUUCCCGGUGUAGUGGUGAAAUGCGUAGAUAUCUGGAGGAAUACCGGUGGCGAAGGCGGCAUCCUGGACCAUUACUGACGCUGAGGCGCGAAAGCGUGGGGAGCGAACCGG
rnacentral:rRNA from 1 species